rnacentral:lncRNA from 1 species
AGCUUCACCUGGAAGGGAACCGCCUGGUUCUCACCUGCCUGGCUGAAGGGAGCUGGCUGCUGGAGUUCAAGUGGACGCACAAUGACAGUGAGCUCACCACCUACAGCAGCGAAUGUAAGUAUAUUAUUCCGUCUUUACAGAGGCUGGAUGCUGGGUUUUACCACUGUGUGGUUCAGAACAGAAUGGGAGUGCUCUUACAAAGAAGAUCAAAAGUUCACGUCGCAUAUAUGGGGAAUUUCAUGGAUACAGACCAGAGAAAAAUGGUCUCGCAAGGACAGGCAGCCGUUCUCAACCUCCUGCCCCUCGCCAGCUGCCCCAGACCUCAAGUGACUUGGUUCCAAGAAGGACACAAGAUUAUCCCAAGCAACCAAAUGUAAGUUGUUCCUGGCGUUUACAUUUAAAUACAACUCACUGCGCUUGCUGGCACCAUUUACGUGUUC